UUUGCCUGAUGCUCAUGUCUGUUGCUUUGGUUGGGCUGCUGCUUUCUCUUCUGUGUUCUUAUGGGUUCGUUGUGGUAUAAGGAUUCCCACAGCUUUCAUGGCAGUAUGAAGUAAUGAGAAGCAUUGCCUUAGCCAUGUUAGUUACAUGUAUACUUUUGGCCUAUGUUAUGAAUCACAAAAAGCGGUAGCUAUAGGAAUGUAUACAAAAUAGAUUUCUGUCUGGGGAAUCAAG
rnacentral:lncRNA from 1 species